UAACUGUAGGCGCGUCAGAAAGGUUCCGCCUGCUCCCGGCCCGAACCUGCGGUGGAACCCGGAUGUGGCCAAGGCCGAACCGGGAAACUGCGCCCGCUGGUGUGCUUCAGAGGUACUGAGGACUGAACCCAGGGCCUUGCACUUGAUAGACCCUUUCCACUACCCAGGCCCAAAAGUGAGCAUAGCUAAAAAUGACUUCAGCUUCAGAGAAAAUGAAAACAAGUCUUCUGCACCUUGUGGUUUCUAAGCACAGGGAAACAUGGCAGAAUGGAGCUACAGGAGAAGAACAAAACAAAUGUGAACAUCACAGAGAAUGGGAUCCUAUUUUGUUGUAAACUUCCCUUCUUGCAAGGAAGCAAAUUCAAACCAGCCCUGCCUCACAUGAAUAUAUUAAAAUCUUAUACAAACCUAUUAAUGGCCUGAGAAAUGCAAGGAUAUUGCAAGAUAUUUGUGCAAAUUUUUUUCUCUCAGAGAGUAG